CCGAGUUUACAACUCCCAAACCCAUGUGAACAUUACCACUGUUGCCUCGGCGGGAUCACGCCCCGGUGCGGUAAAAGCCCGGACCAGGCCCCGCCAGAGGACCACCUAAACUCUGUUUCUAUAUGUCCCUCUCUGACGUAUUUACACUCUAUCAAAAUUCAAAUAUCA
rnacentral:misc_RNA from 1 species